rnacentral:rRNA from 1 species
GGGUUGUGAGGUUAAGCGACUAAGCGUACACGGUGGAUGCCCUGGCAGUCAGAGGCGAUGAAGGGCGUGCUAAUCUGCGAUAAGCGCCGGUAAGGUGAUAUGAACCGUUAUAACCGGCGAUACCCGAAUGGGGAAACCCAGUGUGAUUCGUCACACUAUCAUUAACUGAAUCCAUAGGUUAAUGAGGCGAACCGGGGGAACUGAAACAUCUAAGUACCCCGAGGAAAAGAAAUCAACCGAGAUUCCCCCAGUAGCGGCGAGCGAACGGGGAGGAGCCCAGAGCCUGAAUCAGCAUGUGUGUUAGUGGAAGCGUCUGGAAAGGCGCGCGAUACAGGGUGACAGCCCCGUACACAAAAGCGCAUGUGCUGUGAGCUCGAUGAGUAGGGCGGGACACGUGGUAUCCUGUCUGAAUAUGGGGGGACCAUCCUCCAAGGCUAAAUACUCCUGACUGACCGAUAGUGAACCAGUACCGUGAGGGAAAGGCGAAAAGAACCCCGGCGAGGGGAGUGAAAAAGAACCUGAAACCGUGUACGUACAAGCAGUGGGAGCCCCACCACCAAAGCAUUCUCUGGUGUUGAAGGCCCUGCAAAGCAGCAUCGCGGUGGCGGAGCGUCGUUUGCGACGCCCAACACACAAAACAAGCGGUGAGUGCUUUGGGGUGGGGUGACUGCGUACCUUUUGUAUAAUGGGUCAGCGACUUAUAUUCUGUAGCAAGGUUAACCGAAUAGGGGAGCCGGAGGGAAACCGAGUCUUAAUUGGGCGUUAAGUUGCAGGGUAUAGACCCGAAACCCGGUGAUCUAGCCAUGGGCAGGUUGAAGGUUGGGUAACACUAACUGGAGGACCGAACCGACUAAUGUUGAAAAAUUAGCGGAUGACCUGUGGCUGGGGGUGAAAGGCCAAUCAAACCGGGAGAUAGCUGGUUCUCCCCGAAAGCUAUUUAGGUAGCGCCUCGUGAAUUCAUCUCCGGGGGUAGAGCACUGUUUCGGCUAGGGGGCCAUCCCGGCUUACCAACCCGAUGCAAACUGCGAAUACCGGAGAAUGUUAUCACGGGAGACACACGGCGGGUGCUAACGUCCGUCGUGAAGAGGGAAACAACCCAGACCGCCAGCUAAGGUCCCAAAGUCAUGGUUAAGUGGGAAACGAUGUGGGAAGGCCCAGACAGCCAGGAUGUUGGCUUAGAAGCAGCCAUCAUUUAAAGAAAGCGUAAUAGCUCACUGGUCGAGUCGGCCUGCGCGGAAGAUGUAACGGGGCUAAACCAUGCACCGAAGCUGCGGCAGCGACGCUGAUGCGUUGUUGGGUAGGGGAGCGUUCUGUAAGCCUGCGAAGGUGGCCUGUGAGGGUUGCUGGAGGUAUCAGAAGUGCGAAUGCUGACAUAAGUAACGAUAAAGCGGGUGAAAAGCCCGCUCGCCGGAAGACCAAGGGUUCCUGUCCAACGUUAAUCGGGGCAGGGUGAGUCGACCCCUAAGGCGAGGCCGAAAGGCGUAGUCGAUGGGAAACGGGUUAAUAUUCCCGUACUUGGUGUUACUGCGAAGGGGGGACGGAGAAGGCUAUGUUGGCCGGGCGACGGUUGUCCCGGUUUAAGCGUGUAGGUGUGUGUUCCAGGUAAAUCCGGUUCACUUUAACACUGAGGCGUGACGACGAGGCACUACGGUGCUGAAGCAACAAAUGCCCUGCUUCCAGGAAAAGCCUCUAAGCAUCAGGUAACAUCAAAUCGUACCCCAAACCGACACAGGUGGUCAGGUAGAGAAUACCAAGGCGCUUGAGAGAACUCGGGUGAAGGAACUAGGCAAAAUGGUGCCGUAACUUCGGGAGAAGGCACGCUGACACGUAGGUGAAGUGAUUUACUCAUGGAGCUGAAGUCAGUCGAAGAUACCAGCUGGCUGCAACUGUUUAUUAAAAACACAGCACUGUGCAAACACGAAAGUGGACGUAUACGGUGUGACGCCUGCCCGGUGCCGGAAGGUUAAUUGAUGGGGUCAGCGCAAGCGAAGCUCCUGAUCGAAGCCCCGGUAAACGGCGGCCGUAACUAUAACGGUCCUAAGGUAGCGAAAUUCCUUGUCGGGUAAGUUCCGACCUGCACGAAUGGCGUAAUGAUGGCCAGGCUGUCUCCACCCGAGACUCAGUGAAAUUGAACUCGCUGUGAAGAUGCAGUGUACCCGCGGCAAGACGGAAAGACCCCGUGAACCUUUACUAUAGCUUGACACUGAACAUUGAGCCUUGAUGUGUAGGAUAGGUGGGAGGCUUUGAAGUGUGGACGCCAGUCUGCAUGGAGCCGACCUUGAAAUACCACCCUUUAAUGUUUGAUGUUCUAACGUGGACCCGUUACCCGGGUUGCGGACAGUGUCUGGUGGGUAGUUUGACUGGGGCGGUCUCCUCCUAAAGAGUAACGGAGGAGCACGAAGGUUGGCUAAUCCUGGUCGGACAUCAGGAGGUUAGUGCAAUGGCAUAAGCCAGCUUGACUGCGAGCGUGACGGCGCGAGCAGGUGCGAAAGCAGGUCAUAGUGAUCCGGUGGUUCUGAAUGGAAGGGCCAUCGCUCAACGGAUAAAAGGUACUCCGGGGAUAACAGGCUGAUACCGCCCAAGAGUUCAUAUCGACGGCGGUGUUUGGCACCUCGAUGUCGGCUCAUCACAUCCUGGGGCUGAAGUAGGUCCCAAGGGUAUGGCUGUUCGCCAUUUAAAGUGGUACGCGAGCUGGGUUUAGAACGUCGUGAGACAGUUCGGUCCCUAUCUGCCGUGGGCGCUGGAGAACUGAGGGGGGCUGCUCCUAGUACGAGAGGACCGAAGUGGACGCAUCACUGGUGUUCGGGUUGUCAUGCCAAUGGCACUGCCCGGUAGCUAAAUGCGGAAGAGAUAAGUGCUGAAAGCAUCUAAGCACGAAACUUGCCCCGAGAUGAGUUCUCCCUGAGACUUAGAGUCUCCUGAAGGAACGUUGAAGACGACGACGUUGAUAGGCCGGGUGUGUAAGCGCAGCGAUGCGUUGAGCUAACCGGUACUAAUGAACCGUGAGGCUUAACCUUACAACGCCGAAG